rnacentral:tRNA from 1 species
AGGGCGAUCGCCUUGAGGAAGAGGUCACCGACCUUCGAGGGGUCGGACGUGGUGAACGUGCCGCCACCGGUCGUAUCGGUGAUGCGCUUC